rnacentral:rRNA from 1 species
UACAGAGGUCCCGAGCGUUGUUCGGAUUCAUUGGGCGUAAAGGGUGCGUAGGCGGUCUUCUAAGUUUGAUGUGAAAUCCCGGGGCUCAACCCUGGCAUGGCAUUGAAUACUGGAGGACUAGAGUACCGGAGAGGAAACUGGAAUUUACGGUGUAGCAGUGAAAUGCGUAGAGAUCGUAAGGAAGACCAGUGGCGAAGGCGAGUUUCUGGACGGUAACUGACGCUGAGGCACGAAGGCCAGGGGAGCAAACGGG